rnacentral:rRNA from 1 species
UUGCUCCACCGGAAAAAGAAGAGUGGCGAACGGGUGAGUAACACGUGGGUAACCUGCCCAUCAGAAGGGGAUAACACUUGGAAACAGGUGCUAAUACCGUAUAACAAUCGAAACCGCAUGGUUUUGAUUUGAAAGGCGCUUUCGGGUGUCGCUGAUGGAUGGACCCGCGGUGCAUUAGCUAGUUGGUGAGGUAACGGCUCACCAAGGCCACGAUGCAUAGCCGACCUGAGAGGGUGAUCGGCCACAUUGGGACUGAGACACGGCCCAAACUCCUACGGGAGGCAGCAGUAGGGAAUCUUCGGCAAUGGACGAAAGUCUGACCGAGCAACGCCGCGUGAGUGAAGAAGGUUUUCGGAUCGUAAAACUCUGUUGUUAGAGAAGAACAAGGAUGAGAGUAACUGUUCAUCCCUUGACGGUAUCUAACCAGAAAGCCACGGCUAACUACGUGCCAGCAGCCGCGGUAAUACGUAGGUGGCAAGCGUUGUCCGGAUUUAUUGGGCGUAAAGCGAGCGCAGGCGGUUUCUUAAGUCUGAUGUGAAAGCCCCCGGCUCAACCGGGGAGGGUCAUUGGAAACUGGGAGACUUGAGUGCAGAAGAGGAGAGUGGAAUUCCAUGUGUAGCGGUGAAAUGCGUAGAUAUAUGGAGGAACACCAGUGGCGAAGGCGGCUCUCUGGUCUGUAACUGACGCUGAGGCUCGAAAGCGUGGGGAGCAAACAGGAUUAGAUACCCUGGUAGUCCACGCCGUAAACGAUGAGUGCUAAGUGUUGGAGGGUUUCCGCCCUUCAGUGCUGCAGCUAACGCAUUAAGCACUCCGCCUGGGGAGUACGACCGCAAGGUUGAAACUCAAAGGAAUUGACGGGGGCCCGCACAAGCGGUGGAGCAUGUGGUUUAAUUCGAAGCAACGCGAAGAACCUUACCAGGUCUUGACAUCCUUUGACCACUCUAGAGAUAGAGCUUCCCCUUCGGGGGCAAAGUGACAGGUGGUGCAUGGUUGUCGUCAGCUCGUGUCGUGAGAUGUUGGGUUAAGUCCCGCAACGAGCGCAACCCUUAUUGUUAGUUGCCAUCAUUUAGUUGGGCACUCUAGCAAGACUGCCGGUGACAAACCGGAGGAAGGUGGGGAUGACGUCAAAUCAUCAUGCCCCUUAUGACCUGGGCUACACACGUGCUACAAUGGGAAGUACAACGAGUCGCGAAGUCGCGAGGCUAAGCUAAUCUCUUAAAGCUUCUCUCAGUUCGGAUUGUAGGCUGCAACUCGCCUACAUGAAGCCGGAAUCGCUAGUAAUCGCGGAUCAGCACGCCGCGGUGAAUACGUUCCCGGGCCUUGUACACACCGCCCGUCACACCACGAGAG